GAAAUGCGAUAAGUAGUGUGAAUUGCAGAAUUCAGUGAAUCAUCGAAGCUUUGAACGUACAUUGCACCCUUUGGCAUUACAAAGGGCAUGCCUGUUCGCGCGUCGUUUGUACCCUCAAGCUUUGCUUGGAGUUGGGCGUCUUGUCUCCAGUUCGCUGGGGACUCGCCUUAAAGUUAUUGGCAGCCGGCCUACUGGUUUCGGAGCGCAGCACAAGUCGCGCUCUCUUCCAGCCAAGGUCAGCAUCCACAAAGCCUUUUUUCAACUUUUGACCUCGGAUCAGGUAGGGAUACCCGCUGAACUUAA
rnacentral:misc_RNA from 1 species